rnacentral:rRNA from 1 species
UACAGAGGGUGCGAGCGUUGUCCGGAAUCACUGGGCGUAAAGGGCGCGUAGGUGGCCCGACAAGUCAAUGGUGAAAGUUCGACGCUUAACGUCGAAUCGGCCACUGAUACUGUUGGGCUGGAGCACUGUAGAGGCUCAUGGAAUUCCAGGUGUAGCGGUGAAAUGCGUAGAUAUCUGGAGGAACACCGGUGGCGAAGGCGGCAUCCUGGACCGGCAUUGACGCUGAGCGCGAAGCCAGGGAGCAAGC